UUCACGUUGGUGGGGCUGCGGGUAGUAAUCCUGUAUUUUUCCUUCGGCAGGCUAUCGCCUGCUCCAUUUUACAGAUGAGGAAGUUAAGGUCCAGAGCUAGGACAGGCUGGCCUCUAAUAAAGGCUCCUUGAGUUGUCCCCAAAAUCAAACACGGUAAUUGACACUGUUAAGAGUAACCCUUGACUUCUUACAAUUUAAGCAGCCGUGGGAAGCCAGUCCCCAGUCUUUCCUUGGCACCCUCAGUCCUGCAGUCCAGCCCAGUUGGCAAAAGCCAGAGAAAUGAUUGAUCCCAAAUGAACUAUGUAGCGAUUACUGAAUUAGAAGAAGGGCCAGUUGGAGAUCUUAGCAGGCACAGAGGCUUUUAGAGGUGCUGCAGGUUAUUUAUUCAAUGUGAAGUCGUUUUUUAACACAAUGUUUAAUGUUUUCUCUUAGAUUUUGUAAUUCUUUUAUUCCUUCCCCCAUUCGAGAUCAUUCUUUUGGUUUUGAAAACAUUUUGACGUAAUUUGUCUCCUCCAGUAAAAAAGAAUUACCAUUUCAUUUUAAAGGAUAACUUUUCCUUUUUGUUAGUAUGGUUGAUUAUUAUUCCUAAAUUCCACACCACAAUCCCCAAAGUCAAUUCUUCCCUGGGCUUCAGCUCUAAUUAAAGUUACCUUCAGUCGAUGAGAGGCUUGCAAGAGAUGUCAUGGAGAAUCUUGAGGAAUAAGGUAAACUGAAUAGACUUUCACUGUUAGUAAUGGUAGACUACAUAAUUCACGUCAACCCUCCUAUUGAAGGCAGCUAAACAACCUGGAUGAAACCUAAAAAGCAUCUUCUAGAAACAUCUCAUAAAAUAACAAGACAGUGAGGAAUUACUCGGCCAAAAUUCUCAAUAGAACACAGGCUCCGGACGCGCAGGCUCAGUGGCCAUGGCUCACGGGCCUAGCUGCUCUGUGGCACGUGGGAUCUUCCCGGACCGGGGCACGAACCCGUGUCCCCUGCAUCGGCAGGCGGACUCUCAACCACUGCGCCACCAGGGAAGCCCUGUUUUGUUUUUUGACGUUUGUAUUUCAUCUUUAAU